rnacentral:lncRNA from 1 species
UGAUAUUUUAAAAACAGCUCCCAUGUAGACACCAUGGGAAAAAUCACAACUUUGUUGGACUUCCUUAGAAAGAUUUUGCAGCAUAGUAUGGUUUCUGUUUUAAAGUCUGUAUCUGAGGGAUGAGGGUAGGAAGGGGAGAGCUGCUGUAUAAGGCAGUGCCUUGUGACAUGGUGUCCCGAUGGAAGGCACCAUUUUAAAAGCGAUUGGAGACAGGUUAAACAACUUGCCCUCAAUCAACGGUUGGGAAGUGAAAGAACCAAGCUUCAAAUCCAGGUCUGUCUGGGUCUUGAGCCAAGCUCGAAGUCUGUGUCACAUUGCCCAGGACUCGGCUGCCAAUUCUCCCCACCUCCUCGUCCCUCACUGCUGCAUCAGCAAAUCCAGGGCUCAUGGCAGGAAGAGCAGAGAAGAGCAAAGAUGAAAACUCCUCGAAGUCACAUCUAUCCAUCCUUGCCUGGCACAGAGGAGAUGCUUCAUUUGGAUGUGUUGCUGGAGGGGAGAGGUGCAAGCAGUAUGCCAUGGGCACUCAGAGAAAGAGACUAUCUUUAUUCCUGUAAGCUUCAACUAGGGAGCUUCAAUGUUGCGCAAAUGACAGCAGAGAGAGUCAUCAGGUCAAGCCUAUCCAGCAAGAAGCCAAGUGGAGAGUUGAGCAAUUAUCUGAAGUGGGCAGUGAGACGGCCAAAACCAGAUAAUACUUAACCAGAAAGUCAUCGUGGAGGGAAAAAGUGGACUGAAAAUAGAAGGGAUGGGGUAAAAUGUCAAACAAUUUGGUCAGUGUCCACAGUCCAAAUUCACUGGAUAACAGCCAAUUCCUUGCUUCAUGUAAUUAUUUAGAAUGAGUCUAAAAGACUGAGGUUUUAAAAAAAGAAGAUGAAUUUGUUACCAAGGUUGUUGCAUGUUUGUGCAAAACUUUUUCAUAUCCGUAGGACUAUCUGUGACAUGUCUAAUUCUGAAUAUUUCCAGGAUAUUUUAGAUUGGUGGGUCAAGGUUGUUGAGGAAGCCCAUAUUAUCUGUAGACUUACAUGGAGAAAAACUUUCUUUUAUGGAUUAUUUGAGUGUUAUAUUUAAUUCGCCUUUCUCCCCCCAUAGCAUAUUGCUUAGGAAUUUUCCAUUGAAAACUCCUGGUUCUCUGUUACUUUAUCAUUUCCUCAUGUGGCAAUUUCAGUAUCCCCUUGAUUUUAGUAGAACCUAUCAAUGAAGUAUAUAAGUCUACUAGAAUGGGAUUUGCAUUACUUUUGGUUAAAAAAAAACCCCACCAAAGUCUCAGAUCAAUGUGGUGUUUUUUUCCCUUCUAUUUGGUAUAAAAACCAUAAACUAAUUACUCUGAACAGAUGUUUCCUAGACCUAAAAUAUAGUUAUCAGCCCACUGGCCUCUAUAAAUCCGUCGCUGUAUACCUGGUAAUCCUGAAGACUCCUUAGUGCCAUGUUAAACCUUCCAUUUGUUGAUUUUUUAUUGAGAAAAAGUUCAUAAAUUAGGUUCACUGCUGCUUGGAAUUAAGAAGAAAACACAGCCAUGUUAGUAUUUCAGAUGGGAAAACCAAAGUUAAACAAGUAUUUUUUUUUCACUCUAUCAUGUCUUGAACAUUUGAAGCCAUUACAUAGCAUCUUAGAAACAAAAAAAAAUAACCCAGGGCUACUUUUUUCAGUAGCUUUGGCUGAUGUUUGAAAUCCACAGUGAAAAUUGCCCAUGGAAUAUUCUGGAAGGACUCCAAGGGAGUCUAUUGGAAUAUCUUACAAUAAAGUAAAAAUUCAAGAAGAAUUUUACAUGCAAGUAAGGAUUAAGAAAUUUGUUUUAUAAGUCACGGGAUAAAGGUAUGUAUUAAGUGACAUUGCUAAAUUCUUCCCUUGUGCUGUACAGUGACUGCUUUCCCCAUCAUAUGGUCAUGUCUGAAUCUCUGUGGGAAACCCAUCCCACACAGCCACAGCAGGUGUAACUCUUCUGCCGAAUACUUGAUUGGACAUACUGUGGGCCAGGACCUUUUGCUCUAAUGGUAAAAUUGACCUACAGAAAUGGAAGUCAUUCUAUGGACCUGAGUUGAUAGAAUGGAUGGUGCAUUCUGCAUAAAUGCUUGCUAAUGGUGUCAGUGGUAAAUGGUUUAUGCCCUACUUUGCUUUGUAAAAGACUAUGAUCAUGGAAUUUGAGCUGAAUAGACAAGCAAAAGAUUGAUUCUUCAGUGUCUACUGAUAAGUAAGCCUGUUUUAUCUUCAACCAUCUUGUUUCAUUUAAGUGAGGAAUCAAACCAGCUUUAAUUAAGGAAAUCUUUAGAAAUCACCCAUGCCAUCUUUUUACUCCCUGUUAAAAACAAAACAAAGAAGAAAACUAGAAAGACUUCAGCACAAAAACAUCUGCAUGUUGUCCAGGACCGUAGGACCGAAUCUUAGCACAACUCUUUUUGAGGAAGGAUACAGAUAUUAACCUGAAUUUUGAAUCACGGCUGAGGGAUGUGUGAACAAGUUAGUUUCCUCUUUUCUCCCUCCUGACUUCUUCCAUGAAUACGUAAGACCUAAUUUGGCCAUUCAGUUUGGAGAAUGAUUUUUUUCAUUUAAUUUCUUUGAUUAUCAAGCGUUGUAUUGCUAGGG